AUUCAAUGGUCUGAUUGAAGGGAAAUAUGAAGGCCAAAUGGUAGCCUGGUAUCCACAGCCAAAUGGUACGCUAUUCAGCAGAUCAUCUGACUCCUAUGACCAAGAGGAAUAAGUUCACAGAUGGAAUAUGGACUGCUGUAGACCUUGAUUGUGAUGUAACCCAGGAACGUCAUUCACAUGGAGGAAUUUUAUGGAGAGCUAGCACAAGUUGCAAGCAAUCUUAAGAAACAAAGACUC
rnacentral:lncRNA from 1 species